ACAGACAGCCAUUCCACCCUUGAACGUGCCUGAUCACAUGUGCUCUUGGAAGCUAAGCAGAGCCUGGUUAGUAUUCAGAUGGUGGAAUUCAUACUCAAAACAUGUUUGCU
rnacentral:rRNA from 1 species